rnacentral:rRNA from 1 species
UACAGAGGGUGCAAGCGUUAAUCGGAAUGACUGGGCGUAAAGGGCGCGUAGGUGGAUGCGUAAGUAAAUUGUGAAAGACCCGGGCUUAACCUGGGAAGGUCAAUUUAAACGGCGGAUCUAGAGUGGAGUAGAGGGAAGUAGAAUUUCCGGUGUAGCGGUGAAAUGCGUAGAUAUCGGAAGGAAUACCGGUGGCGAAGGCGUCUUCCUGGACUCUAACUGACACUGAGGCGCGAAAGCAUGGGGAUCAAACAGG